GAUGAUAUUAUUCUUUCACCUAAGACAGCGGGCACAUAAAUAAGACCUGCCGAGGCGAAACAGUAUCAAGUAGUUAGUAUUUGGUAUUUAGUAGGCUUCCUUACGGAAGCUUUUUUUAUUGAAUU
rfam:Microgenomates (Levybacteria) bacterium GW2011_GWC1_40_19 TT87_C0012, whole genome shotgun sequence.